GGCCUCCUGGUGCUUACCACAGGCUGUGUGCUGACACCGACUGUGCAGAAAUAGGAGGCAGAGUGAGCAAACUCACCCCACACACCUCAGCUCAGGCUCUGUAUUGUGAAUGGGGAGACAUUG
rnacentral:snoRNA from 1 species